ensembl:lncRNA
GAUAGAUCUAACCUUAUCCUAAAAUAUUUAUUCAAUUUAGACACACUGACAUUUCAGAGAGCAACAUAAACCAGCUACUUCCAAUGACUUUUACAGCUAAUUUUUCAAAAGAUUAAAACUGUGGACAUAAAACUGUGAUUUUUUUAAGACAUGCCUCUUACCAGGAUGUGGACACCUACUUCCAAGGCACAAACAUGAUCUAGCAGUGGAUGGAUAGGAAGCUGAAUUCAAAUGCUAUCUAUCGCCCUGUAAAGGCAGAUACGUUCAACCUACAGCUAGAAUUGUCAUUUUGGCAUCUGGGCUACAGCUUAUACAGUAAUCUAGUGUUGUAACUAAGUGACGUGGGGGUCCAGGCUUUACUGUAGCCUAUGAAGGACUGACCUCACACGUUAGAAGACUGUCCAAACUAUCAGGCCCUAGCACAAUUUCUUCAUCUUUCCAUUUUUCUUCUUUUUAAGCUGGACCAGAAGUGCUUGGGGAAAAUCCUAGGAAAUCAAUUAGGAUCCUCGAUAUCGAGGAAGGAUGAGACGAAGAAAUUGGACCUCAUAUGCUCUAAUUCUAUUCCCCAGACUUUUUCUUUUUAAAUGUAAUAAAGUAAAAUGUAUUUCAGAGAGCUAUUUUGGAAAACAUGUUCUGUAAAAUUUUUCUAAUAAUUUGUUAGCACUUAUUAGCUUGCUAUACAAACACGCAGUGCUCGUGCUCUUUUCUUUACAUAUUCACCCUCAGAAGAAAGCUAGGCAAGAUGGUUGACGUACAGGUUGACAUGCCUAAGAUUUAUUUUUAUGUCUUUGGUUAUCUAUCAAAAAUUAACUGGGGUUCUUUAAAGUUGUCUGUACGCUCAAAGAUAUAGGAAAAAACUGGAAUAUGUGUAUUGGGUCUUCCUCCUUGGAUCUCCAUUCACAGACUAUACAGGGCAUGUAAGCGCCUGUACUGGGACACUUCCCUUUCCUGGGACGAGGAAGCUAAAACUGUGUGAAGACAGAACUGAAAUGAGACCCUGAGACAGAUUUCCCCCUAAGGAUUUUUGCUGAAGGUGUCCAGAGCUGGUGGGAGUGGUUGGCACUGUCUAUCUCACCACUCCAGUAUAGUUCAGAACAACUCAGGAGUAUUGGACGGCUCCAGUCUGAGUCAAAGUGAAGUUUCACUUACUCUGGAGCAACAAUAAGAAAAAUUCUGUAAGAUUUGGUGGCUAAACCCAAACAUUUGUAUUCAGCAUUUACAUAUUGUUAAAUAUAGUAAUUGCUUAUCCAGACACUUAAAUUUCAGAAGUACAGUUUCUGCUUUUACAAAUUAAUCCGUCUCUAAAAUAGUAUCUUUCUGUUGUGAUAUUUUGCAAUCUAUUGUUCUAAUUUUUUUGCUUCUACUUCCUCAAUUAAGGAGCAAAAUAAAAAAUGAUACCUUGGGAGAUUAGGAAGUUAUUAAGAAGAGAAACUUGCUCAGAAAAGGAACUUCUUGUUUUCUGUAGAUGCCAAACUCAGACAGAAGACAUGUAAUUUUUUCUUCUUUGGUUACAGCCUAGCUGUACAUUCUGGUUAUAUUUUUCUUUAUUUUCCACUACAGGAACUGACUGAACAUUGUCCUUAUGUUUAUUCUCUUCAAACAAAGUCCUGUACAGACUUUUCCAGGCAGAUGUUUUUAUUUUACUGUUGCCACCUCUACAGUUUCACCUGGAUAGAUUCUCUUCAGUAUUUCGUCAGUGCCACAGGUGGAGAUCAUUUGCUAUAAUUCCAAAGUUGUUAUUCUUUCAGUUUGCAGAUGAGAGAUAAUAGAUAAGCUGUUACUGUCCCUGAAGGGAAAUUAUUUUCUCUUGUACCAGCAAUGAAUCAGCAACAUGUUAUGAUGUAUGUGAUCUUCUCACUGCAGGAAUUUUCAGAUAACUGUACACAGGGUGUUAACUUGUUUGCUGUGUUUUAUCUAUUUCUUAUUGGAUUAUGGCAUCUAGAAAAUUCUUCUGUCUUGAAAGAACAGCAUAACAGAAUUGUAUGAGAAAACAAGAGUGGUUUUUCUGUGUAGCGUAAAAAAGUUUAAUUCAUUUUACCCUGGUUUUGACGUAUCUUUACUUUCUAAAUUUAUUUAUAGUUACACAUGUCUGCUGUGUGUUUUAAUUCAGAUAUCUUUUUUUCCUGUUCUUUCUACCUGGCACCUCUCAGGGCACCACAGAAGGUGAGCAUGGCCUCCAUGCCCAGCAUCACCAGGGAGGACCCAGUGCAGAAGAGGGCUCAGCUCUGGUGCCGCUGAGCUCUAUGAGAACUACAAGGUUCUUUUCCUCUCUCUUCUUGGAAUUUUAGGGAAACAGACUAAUAUCUAGCAGAGUGCCCAACUUUCAUGUAUAUCCAUAAGAACCAAUUUUGCCACUUUCAUCCAUUCAGAUAAUGUUCCCAGAUUUGGCUACGCUUUCUCCUGUAAUGACUAGCUCUUCACCUUCAUUUUUUUUAUCCUUAUCUUCAUUUCACACUUCCUUUUCUAUCCUGUUCCCUUCAACAAUUUUCAAUACUUUUUUUUCCCCCCAUUUAAUAUAGCUCUUUCUAAUCAAUACAGAAAUUAACAUGAAAGUGCAGCCUUCACACAGCUCAGAUGAUUCUUUUGCUAGUUCCUCUACCUCUACCUUGGGUCUUCCCUUCCUGUGUGUUUGAUAAACUUUACAGGAAGUCUAUAUCUCUAUAUUUGUAUAGGUGCUAGACAGAGGGAAGCAGGGCUUCACUCUUUGAUAGCCCUCAGGCAUGAUCAAAUAGUGUCAUAGCAUAUCUUAAAAUUGGUAGCUAUGCUUUGAUGACAGAGAAACUUGCAUGCAAGGGAGGAAAACUUCUCUUCAAGGCAAAAGUUGGACUUAAAACAACAAAGAAUACUAUGUGCACCCAUCUCCCUAUGUACAUACAGUAUCUUGCUUCUCGUAAUUGUGGAGACUGAUGACAAAUUACCAGCCUUUCUUUCUUAUCAGAUGUGAUUACACAAGGAAUUUCAUAAUAAGGUAAAGCAGAAUCUCGUCCAAAAGAGAAUCUGAAAACUUUAAUUUGAUUUAUACAAUUCAGAGACUGUCAGACCUAGAACAUGCUAUGCUAAACCUUUAUGUUUCAUGACAAUUCACUUAGAACAUUUCAGAUUUCUUUUCCAGUUUUUCAGAAUUUCAGAACAUUUGCUCACAGUGCCUAUCCUGGAGAGUGGUAGACUUUGAUGCUCCUUUCAGGAUUCCCGUGGUGGAUACCUGCUUCAUCAAAGUCCUGCAGAAAAAUCUAAGAAAUUGGACAUGCUCAAGUACAGAGUUAACCGGAUGGAAGUUGAUACCUCCAUAGGAAGUGGGUAGUACUGGUCAUUUCAAAAAUUAAGAGAACUGAACGUUAAGUCCUGUAUCUGUGUCUUAACCACAAGGCUGAGAAGUCGCCUGCUCUGGUGGUUAAAGCUGGCAUAUCUAUGCUGUUGACAACAAAAGCCUCAUUGUGUAAAAAUAAAAGCAGGUAAGAAAAGACCUGAUCUAGGAGCUGAAGUACACUGUGAGAGAGAUACAAUUGUUGGUUAGGAUUAAGUAUGCAUUUAUUUUAGUCCAUUCCUGAAUACAAGCAAAAUCAGUACUGGAAGAAGGGGCUACAGCCCCAACAUUUUGCAGUACCUAUAUCUAAAAUAAGCAUUUGAGUUAGAUGGAAUAAUUUCCAUCAUUGUUGGUUUCUUAACAACUAUGCUAUCUAAAGUAUUAAACAACUGUUAUAAAUACAUAUGUAUAUAAAUAAACAUAUAUUUAUAUAAAGUAGAGUUUUUUUUCACAAGUAUCACCUGCUAAACCAUUAAAGUUCUCCUGGUUUAUUCAGUGAAAAAUCUAGCUCCUUUGGGCUUUAUAUUACUACAUGUACUCCAUAUUUUUUUGAUAAAACACUUGCUAGAAAUUUGUGGUUUGCUUUUACUUCUAAACUAUAUUAUUAGUUACUUGUACUACUUGGUGAUGCUUCAUUUUGGCUGUCAGAUUGCUGCAUCACUUACUUCUGUGGUUAAUUUUUACUAAAAGAAACCAUCAAUUGCUCCCCAAAGUUGUUUAAAUUCAUAUACCUGAAUUAUCAAGAAAUACAGUCCAAAUAUCACAGAAUUUCCCAAAUUCUCUCUCUUCAAAUGCUGUGUCCUGCAGUUCCUUUCAUGCUGUUCCAAGAAAGUGACUCGAGAGUCUUUAUUAAUCAUGAAAUAUGCUAAUUUAGUGACUGAACUAAAAAUGUGUUUUUCUCUUCUCCCCAUAGCUUGAAGGAAAUAUCCCUGCCAAGUCACUAUCUCUAACACUGAUCUUGUACUAGUAGUGUACAUGUAACCUGUUCAUGACUGAAUCUUUAAAGCCUGGCCAAAUGGUGUUUUUUACAUGUCAGUGUCGAUCUAAUUACAUUUUCAAUAGACUGCAUCUUUAAUUGCAUGAAUAAUUGUGGUAAUUUAAGAUUAAAUACUGAUUUCAUUAAAAAUGAGGACAAAAUCUCUUUCUGUCUGUAGACUGGAUAGCAUUUUGCCCUGUUCAGGCAUAAGUUUAUUGCUGGCAUAUGGCAUAUUUUAGAAUUAUUAUUUUUAUGUGCUGUAAUAAUCUGAACUGGAAAUAACAGUAAUAACCUACACUGGAAGUAACCUGUUUUUGUGAGUUUGAUGGAUAGGUUAUUCCACUGUCAGGAAUUAAGCAGAAAUAUUGCAGUGUUAGCUUCAGAUACAUUCUCCUGGUAUCAUCAAGGGCAUGUCAGGAGAAAAAAACUGUGUUUGUAUAGAGAUGGUAAGUGGAGCAGUUCAUACUCUUAGUUAUGUUGUGCCCUCUGGCAAGCCUGCCAGGAGAGUGCUGUGCUUGUUUUGUGAUGAGAAACCUCCUCCACAUUCCAGCCUGAGCAUAUCUAUUGUUUUCAGACGCAAACAGAUGUGUUCCUUACCUAAGGGAAGCUCUCAAAAAUAUGGAAGUAAAACAGAAGAAACUGAUGUGAAACCACAACAGUAUUUGACCUGUCUGUAUGCAUUAAUAAUCCCAACUUUAGCUGAAGGCAGAAGUCUGUUAUAUUCAGUUUUAUUUAUUUACUUAGUUUCUGCCCUACAGUGCAUAAAAACAAUGGAGGGUAUGAGUAUUACUAACGUCAUGCUUUUAAUUUAAAUUAGCAUUUUGUUAAAUGUGUAUGUGUUUAUUAUAUCAUUCCUAAUAGUUAAAGGCCAGAUAGUUCAGAUUUGUGGAGCUGGUGGAAGAAGGGUAAACAUUUAUAUUCUUUAUUCUGACAAACCACCUUGUAUUUCACAGGCCAAAAUCACAAAACUUCUGUUGAACAAACUAUAUAUCCAUAAUAGCUCUUCCUAAUAAUUCUCAUAUAGUGAAUGAAUUUUAUUUUGGUACAUCUCUGCUGGAGGAUAACAAAGCAUUCAUUUGUCAACUCUUGAAGGUUUUUUUUUUGUUUGAGAUUUUUAAUUCUGUAACUUCUCUCUCUGCAAUGCGCUGACCUGUCUUUUCUAACCUUCAGACCGAUGCCUGUAGGAUGCUCAGACACUUGUUAGACUUCGGAUGUGUGUGGGAGGUAAAGCGACAGCCCACAAGUGGGUCAGGGCUGCAGCUUCUUCAUGAAGGCAAACGUGUAGAAGCUCGUGGGUGUGCACCUUAUCUCAUCUAUGUCUCAGCUACAGCAUAGACUGUAUGAAGAAAUAAUUAAGUGCUAAUAUUGAGUACCUAAUACUCGUAUUCAGAAAAAGUAGCAUGCGUUGGAGGACAGCAGGAUGAGGGUGUGAGCAAAGAGAGAAAGGAAGUGUUCAGCACAGUGUAAGUGCAGAGAUAGUGAAGAAUUGUUGAGAUGAGGUGCGGUAAGCCAACACCUCAUCUGCAGUACCUCAUCUGUACAGCAGCACGUCACAGUAUGACACUAUCUGACCAGCAGCUCUCCAGCACACCGCUCUGUGCUCCUGCUGAUGCUGCCUUUGGUAUCUGUGUUGUGCCAGAGUAUAUACAGAUGUCCUGGGUUAGAGAACUCUCCACGAGGUUACUUUCAUCCCACAACAAUUUGCAAAAUUAGAAGCUAGGAUGCCACAAACCUUAUUUAAGAACAAAGAUGUCUCAGUUAUAGAAGUAUAUUCUUGCAAAUAAGAAUUUCUGAAAUGAAAGUUUUCAUGGGGUGAGAUUUAGUGACUUUCAUGCUGAUAUUCAAAACUGACAGGCCUCCAUGGAAAACUGUCAUGAAUUUCUUCUAGAUUUUCUAAAAGAUUUUGACUUCAGAAAAGAAGCCUGUGAUCGAAAAAAUAUUAUUGAGACAGCCAUUAGCUUGAUGUCUCCAAUAAUACAGACCCAUUUUUCAAAAGCAACAUUUCAAAAUGAAAGUAACUCCUCAGUGCAUUCUCUGCAUGCUGAUUGACAUUUGUCAGAGAAUCAUGGAAUCUCUUAGCUUAAAGAUCAUCUAGUUCCAAUCCCUACUUAGG